GUCAAGAUGGCCAAGUUGGUUACGGAACCCGUUUCAGGUACUGGUACAAAAGAGCAGGAUUUCGAAUCCCAUUCUUGACA